CUUCAGGUUCCACGUUGUCAAAGUAGUCGCCUCCUUCCUCUUCCUCUCCACUGAGUUCUGUAACGUUAGUUUCAAAACUAUUCAAUUCCAUCUUCAAUUCUUCAUUACGCUCCGCCCACCUCUCUUCCCUCUCUGUCAUUUAAUUUCAAUAAGAGCAGCCUCUGUAACCGAUUGAAGCUUCCCCUAUAAAUAAGGGUUUUUGGGGCAAUGGAGAUUUACACAGUUUUGAUUUAUUGCUUCUCUACAAAACAUCCGCGAGCCCUUCGAAAAUAGGGUCUUCCUAUGUUCUUCUCGGCAACCUGAGAGCAGGCCGUUGCUCAAACACGGCGGAGGUGCAUCUUCUGAGAUUCUGGGAAGCUCGCAACGUUCGUAAGAACAAUGAGCUUAUGAGUGUCGACCUCCUUCUCCUCGAUGAAUAUUCUACGCUAAUCCACGGGAGCAUCAACUCCAGCCGCGUUGACACUUUCCGCAGAAGGCUCAAUAUAAGAUUUCUCUACUUUAUAUAUAUAGAUUUAUCCCGAUCGGCAGUUGAAGUCUCACAUCACUCAAUUAUUAAACUACGUCUGUCUUGGCUUGGGGAGGCGGAACUGCGCUUCAGGUUAAUCCAUUUUCGGAAGCAAGGAACACGGCCGAAUGAGGCAUUCUAAUUGGGUUAGAAUUGAUUCUGAUCGAUGAACAGGGUACUGUCAUACACGUUGUUUAGCUUUUGAUCAUCAAGUCCGAGCAUAUGCGUCAGUGAGAGUGAAUAUGGAUAGUGCCGUAAAGAGCCUCUAAAAGAAGAGACGGGUCCUCUGCAAAGAGAUAUUGUGAUCCCUAAGCGUUUUACCCCGUAACUUAUUGUCCGACAGGUUGCUGCAGAUGGUACUCACUCUAUAGUUUGACACGCGAAAGUUAUAUGUGGAGUUGGGGUCAUCCGUGACUUCUCCAUGACAUGUAUAGAUUAAAAUUAAAUGUUCGAUUUUGUUUUACUCUUUACUGUAGAAAACAAAUAUUUGUUCCAGUGUCAAGGUCCUGAAAAUUUCUGUUGAAGCAUUUUGUAAUGUGGCUCUUGAAGAAGAUGGAUAGGCUCUUGGCACAACCCCUCAUCCUGUCCCAGUCCGAGGCCUCAAUGAUCUCACUUGGGUGGAUGGUUGAAGAAGAGGAGAACACGAAAGACUCGGGUUAGGUGACAAUGACAAGAUCAGCAAAAUAGUUCCACAGAAAGUUAAUCUUAUCCCUGACGAAGAUAUCAUUCAGGUUGUAAAGCCUUAAACUUUAAUUAUCUUGAAUCUCUAAAAGAGGAUUACAUUCAUUUAAAGAUGCACUAAACUUUAAUGAUCAAUAA